rnacentral:rRNA from 1 species
GACACAGGGAGGUAGUGACAAGAAAUAACAAUACGGGGCUUAAUGUCUUGUAAUUGGAAUGAUGGGAAUUUAAACCUCUUCCAGAGUAUCAAUUGGAGGGCAAGUCUGGUGCCAGCAGCCGCGGUAAUUCCAGCUCCAAUAGCGUAUAUUAAAAUUGUUGCAGUUAAAAAGCUCGUAGUUGAAUUUCUGCUGCAUUACAUAUCUCUUGUUUGAGUUUGUUUUUGUGGCUUAUUUCGGUUUGAUUUUUUUCUUUCCGGAUGAUUACUUUGAGAAAAUUAGAGUGCUCAAAGCAGGCUUUUGCCUUGAAUAGUUUAGCAUGCAAUAAUAAAGUAGGACUUUGGUUCUAUUUUGUUGGUUUUAGGUACCAAAGUAAUGGUAAUAGGAACAGUUGGGGCUUUAA